rnacentral:rRNA from 1 species
UACAGGGGGGGCAAGCGUUGUUCGGAAUUACUGGGCGUAAAGGGUCUGUAGGUGGCUUGCUAAGUCAGACGUGAAAUCCCAAGGCUUAACCUUGGAACUGCGUCGGAUACUGGAUGGCUUGAAUUCGGGAGAGGGAUGCAGAAUUCCAGGUGUAGCGGUGAAAUGCGUAGAUAUCUGGAGGAAUACCGGUGGCGAAGGCGGCAUCCUGGACCGACAUUGACGCUGAGGAGCGAAAGCUAGGGGAGCAAAUGGG